UAUUGGAUAUACAAAAUAAAAAUAAAAAAUUUCCCUUUAGGGAUUAAGAAGGACGUUGUUUACUUGAGCACUUCUGUCUCCCUCCCCACUUUCCGAAGUGUACUGCCGGGAGGCAGGCCGGCCUUCGUGUCUCUGCCUCCACCAUCUUAAAUCGCAACCGCCGUCACCGCUUCCGUGGCCUCCGCCACGUCCUCCGUCUACCCUGCAGCAAUCCAGUUCCCUCCACCCUUCGGUCGCGGGAUCUUUACUGCGCAUGCACGCCUAAUCGACUUUCCUAUCCACUUCCUCUCAUCAUCCUCCUACGCUCUUUUAUUGGUCUCCUCGAUCGAGCAACCACCAAAACCCUAGCUUAGAAUGGCCAUCGACCAGAAUUCUGUCCCCAAAGAUCCCGUCCAUUUAAACCCUAACCGCUGUCUUUUCACCGCUAGUUCUUCCUCCCCUUACCCGCCCUCCUCCUGCUCUACCGCCGGCGAUUCCCCUGCUGCUGACGAAUCUGCUGACGAUCAACCAUCCGCCCGCAAGGUCAAGCUCCUCUGCAGCUUUGGAGGUAAAAUCCUUCCCCGCCCCAGCGACGGGGCGCUCCGAUAUGCUGGUGGGCAGACCCGAAUCAUUGCCGUACGGAGAGACACCACCUUUCCUGAGCUUUGCCGGAAAAUGAAGGAUGCCUAUGGUGCUCCCGUUGCGAUUCGUUACCAACUCCCUGACGAAGACCUCGACGCUCUCGUUUCCGUCUCCUCAGCGGAGGACCUCGACAAUAUGAUGGAUGAGUACGACAAGCUCGCAGAGGUCUCUGGUGAUGGAUCCGCCAAACUCCGCGUCUUCCUUUUUUCCCAAGCUGAAAUCGCCUCCGUCCUUGCUGAUAAUUUAUCGGUCGGACCCGCUCGUAGUGAUCCCUAUGAAGGCGGGCAGAAAUACGUCGAAGCAGUUAAUGGAGGUUCUGCCUCUGACGCUGGCAUCUAUGCUUGCGAGAUUCGCCGAAAAGGCAGUAUGGCGAGCGCCUCCUCCACGCAGAACUCGGAUGGCGGCUUUGAUGGAUCCAACAAUGACGGUGCUUCUUCAGCUAUUGCCUCUCCUGCUGCUGGGGCCUCAGCUGCUUUUGAUCCAUCAACAUUGACCUUUGCCGGAACUGCCACUUCAGGGACGCUUCCGGAGUCUCAAGGUUUUCCAGCCAGUUCUACCUUCUUUGGUCAGGCGAUGGUUACUACACAGUCCUUGAAUCCACCUCACGCGCCGCCUUAUACCUCACAGGCUUUUGUAGAACCCCACCAGGUUCAUUACAUGCCUCCGCUCUCUCUGAAUAUGGCCGCCGCUCCUCGAAUGGUAAAUGUGGUUUCUGUCCCUCAACAUACCUAUCCUUCUUUUCUGCCAACUACCCCUUCUUCAAUGCCUGCUCAAGUAGGAACUGUGAAAACAGUUAAAGGAAAGGUGGAUCCUUUUUCAGAGGAAGAUCAAUUGAGUGGAAGGUUUGUUCAGCCUAUGUCAGAUCAUAGUUAUAAUGUUUUCCAACAGCCUCUUUCCCAGAUUCCACCUCUGCAACCUUCUCAUUUGCCUCCACCUAGUAUUGAACCAUAUGGAUUGCACCUUGUUCCACCUUUGUCUAAAGUGCCCCUGUUAAUAUUUGAAGAUUGUCAGAUGUGUCAGAAAUCUUUGCCUCAUGUGCAUUCGGAUAGGCUUGUCAAUGAACCAGGUGAUCGUCCUAUAGUCCAUAGUUAUCAUUCUCAGGAUAUAGCAAGGAUGCAGGGUCAGCAUAGGUCAGUUACUGCGGCAAUGAUGGAAAAUUCAGUGGAACCUAAAUUUGAGCACUCUGUAAAUCCCUGUCAAUAUGGGAAUUAUGGAGCCAACAAGGUCCCUGAUUUGGCACUAGACAGGGAGCAGCUAUUUGGCGCAACUGCUGAAAAAAUUGAUCAUUCUAAGCUAAGGCAUCCAUUGGGUGCUGUGGGCUUGUCUGGAGAUGCUCAAGAAUCUUAUGGAGUGUUUGUAAGUUCUGCACAAUCUCAUCUUGAGGGUUCUUUCCAGCAGCAGAAAAAGCAGGUAUUGCAUGGUGAAAAUUUCCAUGCUGCUAAGGUUCUCCGUCCAACUGAUACCUUAACCUUAUCAAGCGGUAUUAACGCAUCAAAUGUUGCCUCUCUUAGUCCUCCACAAACUCAGCGUUGCGAUGCAUUGCAGCAACAGAAUGUUCUGCUAGCUGAAGGUGCUGAUCCAAUUCAGGUUUUCCAUCCUUCUGGUGCAAUAGGUUUAUCAAGCACCGUUCAACCAUCUUAUGGGGUGUUCCAGAGUCCUCCUCAGCCUCAUCAUGAUGAGUCUUUGCAGCAACAACAAUUGCCAGCUGAAACAGCAACGGCAUUUUUUCCGGCUAAGCAAGCUUUAAUCAGCAAGCAAGGUGGUAAAGAUUCUUUUUCAAUGAAUAAUGUAAGAUACAAUGUUCUAGAACCUCCGAGCCUUGCUCAAGACUAUGUUGAACAAGUUGAUGGGGUAAUGGAAGCACUUAAUUUAAGUACCUUUGAUACUUUAAGGUCUAGCGACCUGUUGAAACCAACUCUUGUGCCUAAUGUUGGCGCCCAGGAUAUGAAACUUGAAAAUUUGUAUGCGGUUAGAGACAAUCAUGCAUUCAGACUACCGAAUGAUGCAAAUGCAUUACUUUCAAGCAAUGGUUUCAUCACUUCUGCAGUUGGUCCUGAUGGAAUGUAUAUCAAACCAGCCAAUCCAGUUGUUUUGAACACUAGCAUCUCGAGGGAAAUCAGACCUGAAAGCCCUUCAGUGAUUGUAGAGGACAACAAUACGGUGAAGUCACACCAUGGUGCAAGUAAACUACCUUCAAGCAAUGCCUUUAUAAGCACUGGGCGUCUGCCAAUGGAAACUUCAAUGGGGCGAAUUAAUCCAUUGCUGUCUAACAUGAUGGAAUUGCACACUUCUGAACUUGCUAAUGCCAGUCAGGCAUCAACCAUUUUCGGGAGUAGUAUGUUGCGCGCACAGAAUUUUGAAAGAGGGGCUAAACCUCUUACGGACAGUCAACGAAUUCCAGGAAUGUCUCCAUAUAUUAUUGAUCCUGCUUAUAGUAAUACCGUUGCUGAGGGUACAAGUAAGGCCUGGGAAGAUGAAGUUUCUCAAGCUCAAGCUCAGAACUUGUUUGAUGGCAUGGCUGCCUCCCAAAGAGGCAAUGCUCCAUUUCCAUUGUCCAGUUUAUUAGUUCCAGGAGAAGUGGGACAAUUUCGAGAGACGUUUUUACCUGGUUCACUACUGGGAAAUGAAGAUCCUCAGGAAAUUCUUGAAAGCAUGAAUGCAUGUCGACCAAGAACAGCUAUUGUGGCUACCAGAGGACCUACUAUUUCAGGAGAUAAUUCUUGUGAGAACCGUUUGCCUAUGGGACAGAGUCCUGAUAUAGCGGUGCUAUUAGAGGAAGGCGCUCUUCAACCUCCCGCAGAUUGGCUGAUCAGGGAAUCACGUCCUGAUCCUGUUGUAGGUACAAAAGACCCUAGAGCAGAUUAUAUAAAUCAAGAUCUGCGUGAUCUUGCUGAGCAAGUGGGAGAAUCGGUGCUUCAGUCUUCUCCACCUGGAUCUGUACCUCCUUUUAGUGGACCUGAGGAAAUAUGCCUACCGUUUCUAUGUUCUCAUACUUCUAAUGAGAACCGCUCACCAAAGGGACAGAGUCCUGAUAUAGCGGUGCUAUUAGAGGAAGGUUCUCUUCAACCUCCUGUAGACUGGCUGAUCAAGGAAUCUCGUCUUGAUCCCAUUGUAGGUACAAAAGACACUGGAGCAGAUUACAUAGAUCAAGAUCUGCAUGAUCUUGCUGAGCAGGUCGUGGAAUCGGUGCUUGAGUCUUCUACACCACCUUUGUCUGUACAGUCUUUUAAUGGUUCUAAGGAAAUGAACCCACCAUUUCUUAGAGAGAGCGGGCUGAGUGAGGACAACUCUAAUUCACAGAGUGCAUCUGUUCCGGGUGAUCAGAGAAUUGAGAACAUCAAGGCUAGACAAUCAGAUAAGCUGCAUAUGGGCUUCCUGAUGGCAAAUGAUAUUGGACGAUUACAGAUAAUAAAGAACAGUGAUCUUGAAGAGUUGCGGGAAUUGGGUUCUGGAACCUUUGGAACAGUGUAUCAUGGAAAGUGGAGAGGGUCUGAUGUUGCCAUUAAAAGAAUUAAUGACAGAUGUUUUGCUGGAAAGCCUUCAGAGCAAGAAAAGAUGAGGGCUGACUUUUGGAAUGAGGCUAGCAAACUUGCUGAUUUGCAUCACCCCAAUGUUGUGGCAUUUUAUGGUGUUGUAAUAGAUGGACCAGGAGGAUCUUUUGCAACAGUUACUGAGUACAUGGUUAAUGGUUCAUUACGAAAUGUUCUUCAGAGAGAUGAUACGACCCUUGAUAGGCGGAAAUGCCUUUUAAUUGCAAUGGAUGUGGCAUUUGGGAUGGAGUACCUACACGGCAAGAAUAUUGUACAUUUUGAUUUGAAGAGUGAUAACUUGCUUGUUAACUUGAGGGAUCCUCAACGCCCUAUAUGCAAGGUGGGAGACCUUGGCCUUUCAAAAGUGAAAUGUAAGACGCUUAUUUCCGGAGGUGUUCGAGGAACGCUACCCUGGAUGGCUCCGGAACUUUUGAAUGGUAGUAGCAAUUUAGUCUCUGAGAAGGUUGAUGUGUUCUCUUUUGGUAUCGUGAUGUGGGAACUUCUUACUGGAGAGGAACCAUACUCAGAUCUACACUAUGGUGCAAUUAUAGGUGGUAUUGUGAGCAACACCCUAAGGCCUACGGUGCCUGAUUCCUGUGAUCCUGAGUGGGGAGCAUUGAUGGAGCGGUGCUGGUCUGCAGAACCAACCGAUAGGCCAAGCUUUACAGAGAUAGCCAAUAGGUUGCGCUCCAUGGAAGCUUUACUUCCUCAGAAAGGACAAGCUCAGAAAUGAUUUUUGCCCCAGCCUCACAACGCACAGCCUAGAAGUCAUUCUGGCCUUCACAUUGUGCUUUCCCUAUGUUUUGGCGCUUGCUUUUGGCCUUAGGGGUGAACUGUGCAGUGGGUUCUAUCCGCCACAGCAAUGGCAUGAACUAAAUGUUAAGGAUAAACGACAGCUUUGAGUGGAUCCAUAAAUUAGCCCAACUGGGAGAUAAAAUGGUUGAAACAGGAAAUUAGACAAGUAGCAGAUAAAAAAUGUUCUUGAUCAUUCAUUCAUUUCUCAGGUCUUGGCUACACGGCACUUAGGUUUUGUUUGGGACGGUUUUCUUUCUGCUUCUUAAAGCAGCUUUUUAUUACAAUUUUUUUUUUACUAAAAAACUGCUUUAAGAAGCAGAAAGAAAGCCGUCCAGCCUUAAUCCUACUUUUCCCAAACAUCUCUACUAAUCAUUGUUAAGACGAGGCCUCUCUUUAUUUCACUAACAUCCUCAGCUCCAUGAACCAAAUAGAAACAGGACAUAGCUGGUGGCUGGCGAGAUCGGCAUAGCUGUUUGUAGCUACUGUCUCCAUUUCUGACUAUUUCGUGGUUUGCCGUUUUAAGCACUGACUUUACAUUAAAAUAUUAUAAUAGAAUUCAUUUAUAAGCCAGUAUUUUUCUAAUCCAACGGCUCCAAGAAAAGGACUGAGCUUGCUUAAUAUAUAUGAAAGAAAAAACUAAGUCAUAAAGAAGUAGACUUUUUUUACCGAGGAUUCA